AGACGUCUACAUUAGAUACCCGUGUAGUCCCAGCCGUAAACUAUGCGUGUUAGGUGUAUCGGUGACCACGAGUUACCUAGGUGCCGAAGGGAAACCGUGAAACGUGCCGCCUGGGAAGUACGGUCGCAAGGCUGAAACUUAAAGGAAUUGGCGGGGAGCACCACAACAGGUGGAGCCUGCGGUUUAAUUGGACUCAACGCCGGGAAGCUCACCGGAUAGGACAGCAGAAUGAUUGCCGGGCUGAAGACCCUGCAUGACUAGCUG
rnacentral:rRNA from 1 species